rnacentral:misc_RNA from 1 species
AACGCACAUUGCGCCUUUUGGUAUUCCGAAAGGCAUACCUGUUCGAGCGCCGUUUCAUACUUCAAGCUCCAGCUUGGUGUUGAAUGGUAUCGCUUCUGUCGAUUCGUUCGAAACUCUUUGGCGAUGGGUUAUCCAGUCCAUGGUGUGACAAAACUCUCACUGUCGACUCGAACCAGUCAGCCUUGUUUUCAUGAAUUGAUGGCCUCGGAUCAGGUAAGGUUACCCGCUGAACUUAA